UUUUAUGGAGAGUUUGAUCCUGGCUCAGGAUGAACGCUGGCGGCGUGCCUAAUACAUGCAAGUCGAGCGAACAGACGAGGAGCUUGCUCCUCUGACGUUAGCGGCGGACGGGUGAGUAACACGUGGAUAACCUACCUAUAAGACUGGGAUAACUUCGGGAAACCGGAGCUAAUACCGGAUAAUAUAUUGAACCGCAUGGUUCAAUAGUGAAAGACGGUUUUGCUGUCACUUAUAGAUGGAUCCGCGCCGCAUUAGCUAGUUGGUAAGGUAACGGCUUACCAAGGCAACGAUGCGUAGCCGACCUGAGAGGGUGAUCGGCCACACGUGGAACUGAGACACGGUCCAGACUCCUACGGGAGGCAGCAGUAGGG
rnacentral:rRNA from 1 species